rnacentral:rRNA from 1 species
AACCAGCACCUCAAGUGGUCAGGAUGAUUAUUGGGCCUAAAGCAUCCGUAGCCGGCUCUGUAAGUUUUCGGUUAAAUCUGUACGCUUAACGUACAGGCUGCCGGGAAUACUGCAGAGCUAGGUAGUGGGAGAGGUAGACGGUACUCGGUAGGAAGGGGUAAAAUCCUUUGAUCUAUUGAUGACCACCUGUGGCGAAGGCGGUCUACCAGAACACGUACGACGGUGAGGGAUGAAAGCUGGGGGAGCAAACCGGAUUAGAUACCCGGGUAGUCCCAGCUGUAAACUAUGCAAACUCAGUGAUGCAUUGGCUUGUGGCCAAUGCAGUGCUGCAGGGAAGCCGUUAAGUUUGCCGCCUGGGAAGUACGUACGCAAGUAUGAAACUUAAAGGAAUUGGCGGGGGAGCACCACAAGGGGUGAAGCCUGCGGUUCAAUUGGAGUCAACGCCAGAAAUCUUACCCGGAGAGACAGCAGAAUGAAGGCCAAGCUGAAGACUUUACCAGACAAGCUGAGAGGUGGUGCAUGGCCGUCGCCAGCUCGUGCCGUGAGAUGUCCUGUUAAGUCAGGUAACGAGCGAGAUCCCUGCCUCUAGUUGCCACCAUUACUCUCAGGAGUAGUGGGGCGAAUUAGCGGGACCGCCGCAGUUAAUGCGGAGGAAGGAAGGGGCCACGGCAGGUCAGUAUGCCCCGAAACUCUGGGGCCACACGCGGGCUGCAAUGGUAACGACAAUGGGUUUCGAAUUCGAAAGGAUGAGGUAAUCCUCAAACGUUACCACAGUUAUGACUGAGGGCUGCAACUCGCCCUCACGAAUAUGGAAUCCCUAGUAACUGCGUGUCACUAUCGCGCGGUGAAUACGUCCCUGCUCCU